rnacentral:rRNA from 1 species
CGGGCUUUUUUUCCCCGGAGGGGGGGCUGGGAGGGAUCAUUACCGAGUUUACAACUCCCAAACCCAAUGUGAACGUUACCAAACUGUUGCCUCGGCGGGAUCUCUGCCCCGGGUGCGUCGCAGCCCCGGACCAAGGCGCCCGCCGGAGGACCAACCAAAACUCUUUUUGUAUACCCCCUCGCGGGUUUUUUAUAAUCUGAGCCUUCUCGGCGCCUCUCGUAGGCGUUUCGAAAAUGAAUCAAAACUUUCAACAACGGAUCUCUUGGUUCUGGCAUCGAUGAAGAACGCAGCGAAAUGCGAUAAGUAAUGUGAAUUGCAGAAUUCAGUGAAUCAUCGAAUCUUUGAACGCACAUUGCGCCCGCCAGUAUUCUGGCGGGCAUGCCUGUCCGAGCGUCAUUUCAACCCUCGAACCCCUCCGGGGGGUCGGCGUUGGGGAUCGGCCCUCCCUUAGCGGGGGCCGUCUCCGAAAUACAGUGGCGGUCUCGCCGCAGCCUCUCCUGCGCAGUAGUUUGCACACUCGCAUCGGGAGCGCGGCGCGUCCACAGCCGUUAAACACCCAACUUCUGAAAUGUGACCUCGGAUCAGGAGGAUAGCCCAGUU